rnacentral:rRNA from 1 species
GACGAACGCUGGCGGCGUGCUUAACACAUGCAAGUCGAACGGAAAGGCCCUGCUUUUGUGGGGUGCUCGAGUGGCGAGCGGGUGAGUAACACGUGAGUAACCUGCCCUUGCCUUUGGGAUAACUUCAGGAAACUGGGGCUAAUACCGGAUAGGAGCUCCUGCUGCAUGGUGGGGGAUGGAAAGUUUCGGCGGUUGGGGAUGGAAUAGCGGCUUAUGAGCUUGUUGGUGAGGUAGUGGCUUACCAAGGCUUUGACGGGUAGCCGGCCUGAGAGGGGGACCGGGCACAUGGGUACUAAGAGACGCAGCAGACGCCUACGGGAGGCAGCAGUGGGGAACAUUGCGCAAUGGGCGGAAGCCUGAGGCAGAAACGCUGCGUGCGGGAUGACGGCCUUCGAGGGGUAAACCGCUGUCGACGGUGACGAAGACGGAGUGACGGUAAUGAAUAAAGAAGCACCGGCUAACUACGUG